GCUCUGCUUCAUGGCUUAGAGAAUGUGCUCUGCCUCUUAGCUGCAGACCAAGAGAGGAAAGGGGAGAGAAAGGGAGAGAGGGAAAAGGAAUGAAUAAAGAGAAGAGAGAGGCAGCGACACACUUGCAUCUGUUGUCCUGCGUCCUGCAGCCGUGAAGCAAAUGAGAGAGUGCGAGAGAGACAGAGAGAGUAUGCCAGGAUAAGAAGAGAGAGAGAAAGAGAGAGGAUCUCAGACAGCCGUGUCCUUGAGAACUGCACCACAACUCUUUGAAGAGAGCCGCGAGAAGUAUCCGCGGACUGAGCACACCUUACAGCAGUUACCUAAGUUGAAGAAUAUCAGAUCAUAGCAGUAAAAACAAGUUCCAAGUAGAAGGGAGAAAGAGGAAAUGGAGAAUACACAAUGGAUCCCCCUCC